rnacentral:rRNA from 1 species
UGGGGAAUAUUGCACAAUGGGCGAAAGCCUGAUGCAGCAACGCCGCGUGAGGGAUGAAGGCCUUCGGGUUGUAAACCUCUUUUAGCAGGGAAGAAGCGAAAGUGACGGUACCUGCAGAAAAAGCACCGGCUAACUACGUGCCAGCAGCCGCGGUAAUACGUAGGGUGCAAGCGUUGUCCGGAAUUAUUGGGCGUAAAGAGCUCGUAGGCGGUUUGUCGCGUCUGCUGUGAAAAUCCGAAGCUCAACUUCGGACCUGCAGUGGGUACGGGCAAACUAGAGUGCGGUAGGGGAGAAGGGAAUUCCUGGUGUAGCGGUGGAAUGCGCAGAUAUCAGGAGGAACACCGAUGGCGAAGGCACUUCUCUGGGCCGUAACUGACGCUGAGGAGCGAAAGCGUGGGGAGCGAACA